GGGAUCGUCCCUUUGGUCGCCGUCCUACGGCUGGAGCCAUGCGUUGGGGAGGGGGUCCUGUCACAUGCUCCCUCUCCUGCGCUCUCUGUCACCAGGCUGCUGUGUCAUGCGCCUCAUCUGGCCUCAGUCGCUUUCAAACUAGGGAUUUCGUGAAGUUAGACAGUCCACUCAAAAGCAUGUGGAAUGAAAAGACAUUGUCAUCUCACAGCUUCUUCCGAUUUCAUUGCUUUUCUCAGUCAUUAUUGAGGUUCAGUUUCCUAUUCCACCUAUGGGAGUGGCAGCUCCGGGCAGUGACAUCACCCUUAGAUGCUCUUUCUCUUCUCUUUCUCUUCGUCUAAAAACCUGAACCUCAACCACCUGAUUGUCAACUGGCAGCGUGGAGAAAUCAAUGGUGGUCCACAGCUAUUACCAUGGAAGAGAUCAGCUGGACAGAGUGUUGUUUACAAAGGACGCACUCAUCUGUUUGAAGACCAGCUCGCUGUGGGAAAUGUCUCACUUAGACUGAGUGGUGUGCAGCCGAGUGACCAGGGCAAAAACACUUGUGAUGUGACAGAUGAACAGGCUAGCACCCUGGAAAAGCUACUACUUUUAGUGAGAUGUUAGAGAGUGUAUUUUUGUCUGUUCAGGUUUUUUCAGGAAUCUUUUGUCAUUGGGGGAUUAAGGGACAUAAAAGUAUUAAGCAAUCUGCACAAAAGUAUUAAGCUAUCAGCCUAAAGGCCUUUGCACACCUGGCCCCCUUCAAGAAUCCACAGCUCAGCUGUCUGUACAGUCAUCCUGUGACAGCUUCAUCAUCACCCUCACCUCCUCCCAGGGUUUCCCCCAGCCUGAUGUGUGGUGGACGGACUCCAUUGGAGGAGACAUCUCCAAUUAGAGCCACGGCCGUAUCGGUCUGGACAGCAGGGGGCGCUAUGAGGUCCACAGCUCCAUGGAGGUCAGGCCAAACAGUACACUCACCAUCAUUGCUGAAAUGAGACUGGAGGAUCUCAAUCAAAGCUUCACCCGCUCGAUCACCCUCCACCCAUUCCCAGGUAAAGGUGCGACCUACCAACAGGUUUAAGGGUAGAGCAAUGUGACCAAGCAUGGAUCACUGAUUUAGUGAUGAAAUAUUAAACCAUUUCAUAAUCACUAAUGGCUAAACCCUGACAAGAGGUUACUCUUACAAAAAUUCUGCAAUGUAUGAAUUCUAGACAAAAUUUGUAGUCAAACACCCAUCCUAAAUAUGGAUUUGACAUUUCACUUUGAGGGCAAAUGAGUCAUAUGAGCAUUGUAUAUAGAUGUACUGCAUGCAAGAAUAACACCAUUGCAGAGUGCAACUUUCCAUGACAGUAACUGUUUACAAUGCCCUCAAUGAAAGGUUCAGUGACCAGGCAGCACUACUAGAGGAACAGGUCUUUGGGAUGUGAAGCUGAAAGCCUGUCUCUUUCUCUCUUCUCCUCCUCUUCAACAGAAUGCUGUGAGCUGCCUCUUGCAACUGGCGGCAGACCGGUUUUUGGUAUUAUUAGGGAUAGUUAGCAGCAUUAGCAAUGCCACUAUUAUUAGGGAUAGUUAGCAGCAUUAGCAAUGCCACUCAUAUUGUACUUCAGAUGCCUGAAACACACCAACACCAGCUGGUCCCAUAUGAUUAUACAACAGGACAAGAUGAGACUCAUGAAACAGAGACUUGAUACAUCAUGAACAAAAAUGAGUUAUAAAAGUCUAAGCUUACAGGACUGUUUCAAUGUCACAAAUAUAGGUGUGUGUGUUGCUGCCUUCUGAAAUAUUUCCACUCCCUAUUGGUAAUGUAUUAUAGAGUACUGCUAGCAGUAGACUUUGCUACACUCUGCAGCCCUAUGUAAUCCAGACUACUUUGUUUUUUGGGGGAUGCGAAGGGUGGCUACUUUGAAGAAUCUCAAAUAAAAAUAUAUUUUGAUUUAAUUAACUUUUUUUGGUUACGGC
ensembl:lncRNA